rnacentral:tRNA from 1 species
GGUUGUGGCUCAGUGGGAAAGCACUUGCCUAGCACGUGUGAGGCCCUGGGUUCAAUCCUCAGCACCA